CAGUAGCCACGGUAAAACGUAGGGUGCAAGCGUUAAUCGGAAUUACUGGGCGUAAAGCGUGCGCAGGCGGUUUGUUAAGACAGAUGUGAAAUCCCCGGGCUCAACCUGGGAACUGCAUUUGUGACUGGCAAGCUAGAGUGUGGCAGAGGGGGGUGGAAUUCCGCGUGUAGCAGUGAAAUGCGUAGAUAUGCGGAGGAACACCGAUGGCGAAGGCAGCCCCCUGGGCCAACACUGACGCUCAUGCACGAAAGCGUGGGGAGCAAACAGGAUUAGAUACCCGCGUAGUCCCUGUCUCUUAUAC
rnacentral:rRNA from 1 species